rnacentral:rRNA from 1 species
GAUGAACGCUAGCGGCAGGCCUAACACAUGCAAGUCGAGGGGUAGCAGGAUUAAGCUUGCUUAAUUGCUGACGACCGGCGCACGGGUGCGUAACGCGUAUGCAACCUACCUUAUACUGGGGUAUAGCCCGGAGAAAUUCGGAUUAAUCCCCCAUAGUACUAAUGAAUCGCAUGGUUUAUUAGUUAAAGCAUUGCGGUAUAAGAUGGGCAUGCGUCCUAUUAGCGCGAUGGUGAGGUACCGGCCCACCAUGGCUACGAUAGGUAGGGGGCCUGGGAGGGUGGGCCGCGACACUAGUACUGAGACACGGACCAGACUCCUCCGGGAGGCAGCAGUGAGGAAUAUUGGUCAAUGGGCGCAAUCCUGAACCAGCCAGGCCACGUGCAGGAAGAAUGCCCUAUGGGUUGUAAACUGCUUUUAUUUGGGAAUAAACCUCUUUACGUGUAGAGAGCUGAAGGUACCAAAUGAAUAAGCACCGGCUAACUCCGUGCCAGCCGCCGCGGUAA